rnacentral:rRNA from 1 species
UUGACCUCGGAUCAGGUAGGGAUACCCGCUGAACUUAAGCAUAUCAAUAAGCGGAGGAAAAGAAACCAACAGGGAUUGCCCUAGUAACGGCGAGUGAAGCGGCAACAGCUCAAAUUUGAAAUCUGGCUCUUUUAGAGUCCGAGUUGUAAUUUGCAGAGGGCGCUUUGGCUUUGGCAGCGGUCCAAGUUCCUUGGAACAGGACGUCACAGAGGGUGAGAAUCCCGUACGUGGUCGCUGGCUAUUGCCGUGUAAAGCCCCUUCGACGAGUCGAGUUGUUUGGGAAUGCAGCUCUAAAUGGGAGGUACAUUUCUUCUAAAGCUAAAUAUUGGCCAGAGACCGAUAGCGCACAAGUAGAGUGAUCGAAAGAUGAAAAGCACUUUGGAAAGAGAGUCAAACAGCACGUGAAAUUGUUGAAAGGGAAGCGCUUGCAGCCAGACUUGCUUGCAGUUGCUCAUCCGGGCUUUUGCCCGGUGCACUCUUCUGUAGGCAGGCCAGCAUCAGUUUGGGCGGUAGGAUAAAGGUCUCUGUCACGUACCUCUCUUCGGGGAGGCCUUAUAGGGGAGACGACAUACUACCAGCCUGGAC